GAGAAAUCUUCAAUACCUUAGCAAGGAGUAAUGAUCUUUGUGUUCUACCUAGAAAGGUAUAUGGGAGUCUAAGCUGAAUUUUUCUUGUCUGUUCUAAGCUUUCCUUAUUGGUCUCUGUCUAUCUGAUCCAAUUUUGGGGAAGUGGGGCUCACAGA